rnacentral:rRNA from 1 species
GACGUAGGUGGCGAACGUUAUCCGGAAUUAUUGGGCGUAAAGGGUGCGUAGAUGGUCUAGAAAGUUAGUAGUGGAAAAUCGAGGCCCAACCUCGUGGAAGCUAUUGAUACUAUUAGACUAGAGAGCAGGAGAGGUUAACGGAACUAUUUGUGUAGGGGUAAAAUCCGACGAUAUAAACAUGAACACCAAUAAACGGCGAAGGCAGUUAACUAUUCUGUUCCUGACAUUGAGGCACGAAAGCGUGGGGAGCAAAACGG